UUGGGGGGUGUGUGUGGGUGUGGUUGUGUGGUGGGCCUCUGUGUGGGUGAGCGUCUGGGCUGUGUGUGGGGCAGGUGUGCAGUGUAUGUAGGGAGGGUGUGGUGUGUGUAUGGCAUAUGUGAGGGGACGUGGGUGUGGGGGGGUUGUGUGGGAUGGGUGGGUGUACUGUGUGCAUGUGGCAUGUGAGUGUAGUGGGUAUAGGUGAUGAAUGUGGGGGUGGGGGAGGUGCGGAGAGUGUGUUCAGCAACAAAAGGAAGACUAGGGAAAAAUGUGGGCCCGCUACUGAAUGGGGCAGGGGCCCUGGUGACAGAGGACACAGAGAAGGCAGAGAUACUGAAUGCCGUCUUUACUGCUAAGAUCAGCCCUCAGGAAUCCCGGACCCUGGAGACCAGGGAGAAAGUCUGGGGAAAGGAAGACUCUCCCUUGGUCGAGGAGGAUCGGAUUAGAGCGCGUUUGGGCAGCCUGGGCACCCACAAGUCCAUGGACCCUGAUGGGAUGCACCCAGGAGUGCUGAGGGAGCUGGCGAAUGUUAUUGCUAGGCCGCUCUCCAUCAUCUUUGAAAGGUUAUGGAGAACAGGAGAGGUGCCUGAGGGCUGGAAGAAAGCCAAUGUCACUCCAGUCCUCAUCUCCCUCAAGGGCAAGAAGGAGGAGCCAGGAAACUACAGGCCUGUCAGCCUCACCUCCAUCCCUGGAAAGGUGAUGGAGCAGCUCAUCCUGGAGGUCCUCACUAAGCACGUGGAGGACAAGAAGGUGAUCAGCAGGAGUCAGCAUGGAUUCACCAAAGGGAAAUCAUGCUUGACCAACCUGAUAGCCUUCCAGGAUGGAAUGACUGGCUGGGUAGAUGAGGGGAGAGCAGUGGAUGUUGUCUCCCUGGACUUCAGCAAGGCUUUUGACACUGUCUCCCACAGCAUCCUCAUAGGUAAACUCAGGAAGUGCGGGUUGGAUGAGUGGACAGUGAGGUGGAUUGAGAACUGGCUGGAUGGCAGAGCUCAGAGGGUUGUGGUGAAUGGCGCAGAGUCUAGUUGGAGGCCUGUAGCUAGCGGUGUCCCCCAGGGGUCAGUNNNNNNNNNNNNNNNNNNNNNNNN
rnacentral:lncRNA from 1 species